rnacentral:rRNA from 1 species
AGUGAACGCUGGCGGUAGGCCUAACACAUGCAAGUCGAACGGCAGCACAGUAAGAGCUUGCUCUUACGGGUGGCGAGUGGCGGACGGGUGAGGAAUACAUCGGAAUCUACUUUUUCGUGGGGGAUAACGUAGGGAAACUUACGCUAAUACCGCAUACGACCUACGGGUGAAAGCAGGGGAUCUUCGGACCUUGCGCGAUUGAAUGAGCCGAUGUCGGAUUAGCUAGUUGGCGGGGUAAAGGCCCACCAAGGCGACGAUCCGUAGCUGGUCUGAGAGGAUGAUCAGCCACACUGGAACUGAGACACGGUCCAGACUCCUACGGGAGGCAGCAGUGGGGAAUAUUGGACAAUGGGCGCAAGCCUGAUCCAGCCAUACCGUGUGGGUGAAGAAGGCCUUCGGGUUGUAAAGCCCUUUUGUUGGGAAAGAAAAGCAGCAGGUUAAUACCCCGCUGUUCUGACGGUACCCAAGGAAUAAGCACCGGCUAACUUCGUG